rnacentral:rRNA from 1 species
AGAACGAACGCUGGCGGCAGGCUUAACACAUGCAAGUCGAGCGCUCGCCAUUCUUAGCAAUAAGGAUGGCGGGAGCGGCAGACGGGUGAGUAACGCGUGGGAACAUACCCUCCGGUUCGGAAUAACGCAGGGAAACUUGUGCUAAUACCGGAUACGGUCGAGAGGCGAAAGAUUCAUCGCCGGAGGAUUGGCCCGCGUUCGAUUAGCUAGUUGGCGGGGUAAUGGCCCACCAAGGCGACGAUCGAUAGCUGGUCUGAGAGGAUGAUCAGCCACAUUGGGACUGAGACACGGCCCAAACUCCUACGGGAGGCAGCAGUGGGGAAUAUUGGACAAUGGGCGCAAGCCUGAUCCAGCCAUGCCGCGUGAGUGAUGACGGCCUUAGGGUUGUAAAGCUCUUUCGCUAGGGACGAUAAUGACGGUACCUAGACAAGAAGCCCCGGCUAACUUCGUGCCAGCAGCCGC